UACAGAAGCCUCAAGCGUUACCCGGAUUUACUGGGCGUAAAGGGUAUGUAGGCGGUUUUAUUAGUCGUGUGUCAAAUCUUCGGGCUCAACCCGAAGUUCGCACAGGAAACGGUAAAACUAGAAGGAGUGAGAGGUGUGCGGAACUCAAGGUGUAGGGGUGAAAUCCGUUGAUAUCUUGGGGAACACCAAAUGCGAAGGCAGCACACUGGCACUUUCUUGACGCUGAGAUACGAAAGCGUGGGUAGCGAAUGGG
rnacentral:rRNA from 1 species